UGUUAGUGGUCUCAUUCUGUUGUGUACCUCGUGCCAAUUUCUUUGGAUGGUUCUCAAGUGAUGUACAUACUACUGUAGUUUUCGGGAUCAGAUAUUGGCUUCGUCCCAUCUUAAGAACUUUGUUGCAUGGUAACCUCCAGGAAUUCGGUGAUAGAAUUGGGAAAAUUAUGUCCCCAAACAGUUCCUUGGAGGAAAAAUAUCUCUGAUAUGGAUUGUGAGGGCAAAUUUCUAGAGGACGGAAGGAGUGCUGAGAGAGCCCAAGUGUUCGAUAAAUUAAGAACUAACAACAAUGCAUCACAGUCUCCAUCAUUUGCAAGGAAUCCAAUAAAGUGGGGGAAUGUGCUAUUUCCUUUAUUUUCAGGGACAGAGUCCCUGUCUCAUACCGGAAAAGGACGGCUUGCAGAGGAACUGAGUAUGGAACAUCAGAUGAAGUUGGAAGAAGCCUGACAUCGCCUGCCCUGAAGUCCUCAGUUGAAGUUCUCUUGCCUGAGGAUACCUGAAGUGAAAGGGACAGAGUCCCUGUCUCAUACCGGAAAAGGACGGCUUGCAAAGGAACUGAGUAUGGAACAUCAGAUGAAGUUGGAAGAAGGCUAACAUCGCCUGCCCUGAAGUCCUCAGUUGAAGUUCUCUUGCCUGAGGAUACCUGAAGUGAAAGGGACAGAGUCCCUGUCUCAUACCGGAAAAGGACGGCUUGCAAAGGAACUGAGUAUGGAACAUCAGAUGAAGUUGGAAGAAGGCUAACAUCGCCUGCCCUGAAGUCCUCAGUUGAAGUUCUCUUGCCUGAGGAUACCUGAAGUGAAAGGUAAGAAACACUUGACUUUCCAAAGGAACUCAAAGUGCUCAAGUGUUGAUGGAGCUCGCAGGAAUUCCCAACCAUGAAUCAUGAUCCUUUGGGAUCUGGUUCAGCCAAACUGCCUGUGGCUACUCCUGUGAUUGGAGAAUAGGCCCAUUGGUUCGUGUUAAAGGAUGUGAAUGUCUUGAAUUCUGUUCGCUCACCAAACCUGUUCUAUUUUGAGUAUACUAAGUGUCAUGGCAGGGGGUACACCAGCGUGCUUGGAUCGAUGAUGAUUUCCAAUAAAACAUUCCUUGGAAAGCUGAACAAAAUGAGUGAAAACUCAAUACCGCCAAUAUCAUCGUGACUGAGGUCCAGCACCUGGGAUCACAAAUGUCACUGAGGGACUCACAUGGCCUCCAUUCAUCUUGCGAGACUUGGAUCCAGUGAGAGAGCCUUCAGAAUGUUCUUUGCUUGCCUAAAUCACCAGAAAUCAUGGCCUAAAUCAAGGCUUCACCUUUUGCUCUAAUGAUAACAUGCUUUCCGGUUGAGGAGAUCAUUGUCAGUAUCUUGGAAGUUAGCCCUACCAACUCCAUCAGCAAUAAUGUAUAGUAGGUUGUGAGGAUAAUGUAAGUUUAGCGGGGGCAGCAUAGUUCAAAAAUGUACACUGGAAUGUCAGGAAAUGUGUUUCUGUCCGUGUCUGAAGCCUUCGCAUGAAUGAUGACACUUCUGUUUCAUAAAACAGAGAUACAUAACGGGAAGGUUACAGGCGACAUGUGGAAUGAGGCAGUAGCAAUUCUCAGGAACUAUGGGAAUGUGGACUCUUCCUGUGUGAAAACAAAGCUCUGUUUUCUUGAAAGACUGAUUGUGGCCAUGUCAAUUGGGUUGGAAAGAGAGCCUUGGAAUUUAAAAGGUUGGCAUGUAGCCUUCUUGUCCUGGAUUCUAGAAGUGCAUGCUUUCAAAUAUCCCAGGAUUCAUACCACCUUCAUGGAUGUAUGGAGAUCACCCAUUUUAAUCCUAUUUCUAUGUUUAUUGUUGGGACAUUUUUGUCAGUCUAUCCGGGUAGUUUGCCAGCAGUUCUUAUGGAUUGACUGUACCAAAAUGGUCUGGACAUACAUCUCCUCCUCUUCUAGGAUCUAAGAAUGUGAGCAUGCAAGUUUGAAUCUUACACAAACUCCUUCUAGGAAUUUUAUAUUUUGGUAAGGCCAUAGAAGAUAGGCAUGGAGUGUCUGCGGGAUUAUCUCUCCUUAUGGUCUUGAUGUGGCCUUGCUGAAGGUUAACUUGGCAUUUUGGCUUUGUGUUUUGGGGCUGAUGGUAGUCCUGUUAUCUUAGACAUUGUUCUUUUCUCCAAGCAAAUAUCAACAAGAAAUUGUGUUUCCAUUUGAUUAUGAAAGUGAGCUGCAUGCUUAGGAUCAUGCUGUUGAUAAUAACAUAUAUCUCAUUGACUACAGGUUAUGCUUGUGUUUGGUGACCUGAGAGGGUUUGAACAGACACUUUCUCUGUGGUGAUCAAUGUCAGAUACCACAGCAAUAGCACUCACAGGAAUUUAGUACCAGUCAAAACCUGAAUAGGAGAUAUAUGAGCAUGGACAGAGACAGAGAGAAAGAACAAUUGUUGAAGAGGCUAAGCAUGUGUGAGACAGAGGAAGACAGUGAGAGACAGAAAGAGAGGGGGGGGGAGAGAGGGAGUGUGAAGUGGAAAAGAGGACACUGUGAUAUCAAAGCAGAUAUCUUGAUUGACAGAUAAGGAAACCAAAUAGAGAGAAUGUGAGUGAGAAACUGAGAAGCUAGGAGAGUCACUGCAAGUCAAUUUCAGAGAGAAAGUGAAGAAGCGAGAUAGAGAAAGAGUACAUAAGAAGUCCAUUCAUCUAAUGUGGAUGAGAAUCUUAUAUGAUAUUUGAAUCGGUUCUCAUCGAAGGCAGAGUAGGACUAAUAGGUGUAGUAUGUUAUGAUUAUGGAGGGAGCUCCGAUUGUGGCCAAAGCUAUUAAGAUUCUGAUGGAUUCCAUGGGAAGAGUAAGGCCUGAUUUUCUCUGUCAUAUCCGGCUGAACUGAGAUUUACUUAUUUUUGUAGACAACUUCCAUUAAGCCAUGUUAGUGGUCUCAUUCUGUUGUGUACCUCGUGCCAAUUUCUUUGGAUGGUUCUCAAGUGAUGUACAUACUACUGUAGUUUUCGGGAUCAGAUAUUGGCUUCGUCCCAUUAAGAACUUUGUUGCAUGGUAACCUCCAGGAAUUCGGUGAUAGAAUUGGGAAAAUUUUGUCCCCAAACAGUUCCUUGGAGGAAAAAUAUCUCUGAUAUAGAUUGUGAGGGCAAAUUUCUAGAGGACGGAAGGAGUGCUGAGAGAGCCCAAGUGUUCGAUAAAUUAAGAACUAACAACAGUGCAUCACAGUCUCCAUGAUUUGCAAGGAAUCCAAUAAAGUGGGGGAAUGUGCUAUUUGCUUUAUUUUCAGGGACAGAGUCCCUGUCUCAUACCGGAAAAGGACGGCUUGCAGAGGAACUGAGUAUGGAACAUCAGAUGAAGUUGGAAGAAGCCUAACAUCGCCUGCCCUGAAGUCCUCAGUUGAAGUUCUCUUGCCUGAGGAUACCUGAAGUGAAAGGUAAGAAACACUUGACUUUCCAAAGGAACUCAAAGUGCUCAAGUGUUGAUGGAGCUCGCAGGAGUUCCCAACCAUGAAUCAUGAUCCUUUGGGAUCUGGUUCAGCCUCACUGCCUGUUGCUACUCCUGUGAUUGGAGAAUAGGCCCAUAGGUUCGUGGUAAAGGAUGUGAAUGUCUUGAAUUCUGUUCGCUCACCAAACCUGAUCUAUUUUGAGUAUACUAAGUGUCAUGGCAGGGGGUACACCAGCGUGCUUGGACCGAUGAUGAUUUCCAAUAAAACAUUCCUUGGAAAGCUGAACAAAAUGAGUGAAAACUCAAUACCGCCACUAUCAUCGUGACUGAGGUCCAGCACCUGGGAUCACAAAUGUCACUGAGAAACUCACAUGGCCUCCAUUCAUCUUGCGAGACUUGGAUCCAGUGAGAGAGCCUUCAGAAUGUUCUUUGCUUGCCUAAAUCACCAGAAAUCAUGGCCUAAAUCAAGGCUUCACCUUUUGCUCUAAUGAUAACAUGCUUUCCGGUUGAGGAGAUCAUUGUCAGUAUCUUGGAAGUUAGCCCUACCAACUCCAUCAGCAAUAAUGUAUAGUAGGUUGUGAGGAAAAUGUAAGUUUAGCGGGGACAGCAUAGUUCAAAAUGUACACUGGAAUGUCAGGAAAUGUGUUUCUGUCCGUGUCUGAAGCCUUCGCAUGAAUGAUGACACUUCUGUUUCAUAAAACAGAGAUACAUAACGGGAAGGUUACAGGCGACAUGUGGAAUGAGGCAGUAGCAAUUAUCAGGAACUAUGGGAAUGUGGAAUCUUCCUGUGUUAAAAAAAAGCUCUGUUUUCUUGAAAGACUGAUUGUGGCCAUGUCAACUGGGUUGGAAAGAGAGCCUUGGAAUUUAAAAGGUUGGCAUGUAGCCUUCUUGUCGGUGGAUUCUAGAAGUGCAUGCUUUCAAAUGUCCCAGGAUUCAUACCACCUUCAUGGAUGUAUGGAGAACACCCAUUUUAAUCCUAUUUCUAUGUUUAUUGUUGGGACAUUUUUGUCAGUCUAUCCGGGUAGUUUGCCAGCAGUUCUUAUGGAUUGACUGUACCAAAAUGGUCUGGACAUACAUCUCCUCCUCUUCUAGGAUCUAAGAAUGUGAGCAUGCAAGUUUGAAUCUUACACACACUCCUUCUAGGAAUUUUAUAUUUUGGUAAGGCCAUAGAAGAUAGGCAUGUAGUGUCUGCGGGAUUAUCUCUCCUUAUGGUCUUGAUGUGGCCUUGCUGAAGGUUAACUUGGCAUUUUGGCUAUGUGUUUUGGGGCUGAUGGUAGUCCUGUUAUCUUAGACAUUGUUCUUUUCUCCAAGCAAAUAUCAACAAGAAAGUGUGUUUCCAUUUGAUUAUGAAAGUGAGCUGUAUGGUUCAGAUCAUGCUGUUGAUAAUAACAUAUAUCUCAGUUACUACAGGUUAUGCUUGUGUUUGGUGACCUGAGAGGGUUUGAACAGACACUUUCUCUGUGGUGAUCAAUGUCAGAUACCACAGCAAUAGCACUCACAGGAAUUUAGUACCAGUCAAAACCUGAAUAGGAGAUAUAUGAGCAUGGAGAGAGACAGAGCAAGAACAAUUGUUGAAGAGGCUAAGCAUGUCUGAGACAGAGGAAGACAGUGAGAAACAGAAGAGAGAGAGGGGGGAAGAGAGGGGGUGUGAAGUGGAAAAGAGGACACUGUGAUAUUAAAGCAGAUAUCUUGAUUGACAGAAAUAAGGAAACCAAAUAGAGAGAAUGUGAGUGAGAAACUGAGAAGCUAGGAGAGUCACUGCAAGUCAAUUUCAGAGAGAAAGUGAAGAAGCGAGAUAGAGAAAGAGUACAUAAGAAGUCCAUUCAUCUAAUGUGGAUGAGAAUCUUAUAUGAUAUUUGAAUCGGUUCUCAUCGAAGGCAGAGUAGGACUAAUAGGUGUAGUAUGUUAUGAUUAUGGAGGGAGCUCCGAUUGUGACCAAAGCUAUUAAAAUUCUGAUUGUUUCCAUGGGAAGAGUAAGGCCUGAUUUUCUCUGUCAUAUCCGGCUGAACUGAGAUUUACUUAUUUUUGUAGACAACUUCCAUUAAGCCAUGUUAGUGGUCUCAUUCUGUUGUGUACCUCGUGCCAAUUUCUUUGGAUGGUUCUCAAGUGAUGUACAUACUACUGUAGUUUUCGGGAUCAGAUAUUGGCAUCGUCCCAUCUUAAGAACUUUGUUGCAUGGUAACCUCCAGGAAUUCGGUGAUAGAAUUGGGAAAAUUAUGUCCCCAAACAGUUCCUUGGAGGAAAAAUAUCUCUGAUAUGGAUUGUGAGGGCAAAUUUCUAGAAGACGGAAGGAGUGCUGAGAGAGCCCAAGUGUUCGAUAAAUUAAGAACUAACAACAAUGCAUCACAGUCUCCAUGAUUUGCAAGGAAUCCAAUAAAGUGGGGUUAUGUGCUAUUUGCUUUACUUUCAGGGACAGAGUCCCUGUCUCAUACCGGAAAAGGACGGCUUGCAGAGGAACUGAGUAUGGAACAUCAGAUGAAGUUGGAAGAAGCCUAACAUCGCCUGCCCUGAAGUCCUCAGUUGAAGCUCUCUUGCCUGAGGAUACCUGAAGUGAAAGGUAAGAAACACUUGACUUUCCAAAGGAACUCAAAGUGCUCAGGUGUUGAUGGACUCACAGGAGUUCCCAACCUUGAAUCAUGAUCCUUUGGGACCUGGUUCAGGCUCACUGCCUGUGGCUACUCCAGUGAUUGGAGAAUAGGCCCAUUGGUUCGUGGUAAAGUAUGUGAAUGUCUUGAAUUCUGUUCGCUCACCAAACCUGAUCUAUUUUGAGUAUACUAAGUGUCAUGGCAGGGGGUACACCAGCGUGCUUGGAUCGAUGAUGAUUUCCAAUAAAACAUUCCUUGGAAAGCUGAACAAAAUGAGUGAAAACUCAAUACCGCCACUAUCAUCGUGACUGAGGUCCAGCACCUGGGAUCACAAAUGUCACCGAGGGACUCACAUGGCCUCCAUUCAUCUUGCGAGGCUUGGAUCCAGUGAGAGAGCCUUCAGAAUGUUCUUUGCUUGCCUAAAUCACCAGAAAUCAUGGCCUAAAUCAAGGUUUCACCUUUUGCUCUAAUGAUAACAUGCUUUCCGGUUGAGGAGAUCAUUGUCAGUAUCUUGGAAUUUAGCCCUACCAACUCCUUCAGCAAUAAUGUAUAGUAGGUUGUGAGGAAAAUGUAAGUUUAGCGGGGGCAGCAUAGUUCAACAAUGUACACUGGAAUGUCAGGAAAUGUGUUUCUGACCGUGUCUGAAGCCUUCGCAUGAAUGAUGACACUUCUGUUUCAUAAAACAGAGAUACAUAACGGGAAGGUUACAGGCGACAUGUGGAAUGAGGCAGUAGCAAUUCUCAGGAAUUAUGGGAAUGUGGACUCUUCCUGUGUGAAAACAAAGCUCUGUUUUCUUGAAAGACUGAUUGUGGCCAUGGCAAUUAGGUUGGAAAGAGAGCCUUGGAAUUUAAAAGGUUGGCAUGUAGCCUUCUUGUCUGUGGAUUUAGAAGUGCAUGCUUUCAAAUGUCCCAGGAUUCAUACCACCUUCAUGGAUGUAUGGAGAACACCCAUUUCAAUCCUAGUUUCUAUGUUUAUUGUUGGGACAUUUUUUGUCAGUCUAUCCGGGUAGUUUGCCAGCAGUUCUUAUGGAUUGACUGUACCACAAUGGUCUGGACAUACAUCUCCUCCUCUUCUAGGAUCUAAGAAUGUGAGCAUGCAAGUUUGAAUCUUACACACACUCCUUCUAGGAAUUUUAUAUUUUGGUAUGGCCGUAGAAGAUAGGCAUGGAGUGUCUGCGGGAUAAUCUCUCCUUAUGGUCUUGAUGUGGCCUUGCUGAAGGUUAACUUGGCAUUUUGGCUAUGUGUUUUGGGGCUGAUGGUAGUCCUGUUAUCUUAGACAUUGUUCUUUUCUCCAAGCAAAUAUCAACAAGAAAUUGUGUUUCCAUUUGAUUAUGAAAGUGAGCUGUAUGGUUAGGAUCAUGCUGUUGAUAAUAGCAUAUAUCUCAGUGACUACAGGUUAUGCUUGUGUUUGGUGACCUGAGAGGGUUUGAACAGACACUUUCUCUGUGGUGAUCAAUGUCAGAUACCACAGCAAUAGCACUCACAGGAAUUUAGAACCAGUCAAAACCUGAAUAGGAGAUAUAUGAGCAUGGACAGAGACAGAGAGAAAGAACAAUUGUUGAAGAGGCUAAGCAUGUGAGAGACAGAGGAAGACAGUGAGAGACAGAAAGAGAGAGCGGGGGGAGAGAGGGAGGGUGAAGUGGAAAAGAGGACACUGUGAUAUUAAAGCAGAUAUAUUGAUUGACAGAAAUAAGGAAACCAAAUAGGGAGAAUGUGAGUGAGAAACUGAGAAGCUAGGAGAGUCACUGCAAGUCAAUUUCAGAGAGAAAGUGAAGAAGCGAGAUAGAGAAAGAGUACAUAAGAAGUCCAUUCAUCUAAUGUGGAUGAGAAUCUUAUAUGAUAUUUGAAUCGGUUCUCAUCGAAGGCAGAGUAGGACUAAUAGGUGUAGUAUGUUAUGAUUAUGGAGGGAGCUCCGAUUGUGACCAAAGCUAUUAAGAUUCUGAUUGUUUCCAUGGGAAGAGUAAGGCCUGAUUUUCUCUGUCAUAUCCGGCUGAACUGAGAUAUACUUAUUUUUGUAGACAACUUCCAUUAAGCCAUGUUAGUGGUCUCAUUCUGUUGUGUACCUCGUGCCAAUUUCUUUGGAUGGUUCUCAAGUGAUGUACAUACUACUGUAGUUUUCGGGAUCAGAUAUUGGCUCCGUCCCAUCUUAAGAACUUUGUUGCAUGGUAACCUCCAGGAAUUCGGUGAUAGAAUUGGGAAAAUUAUGUCCCCAAACAGUUCCUUGGAGGAAAAAUAUCUCUGAUAUGGAUUGUGAGGGCAAAUUUCUAGAAGACGGAAGGAGUGCUGAGAGAGCCCAAGUGUUCGAUAAAUUAAGAACUAACAACAAUGCAUCACAGUCUCCAUGAUUUGCAAGGAAUCCAAUAAAGUGGGGGUAUGUGCUAUUUGCUUUACUUUCAGGGACAGAGUCCCUGUCUCAUACCGGACAAGGACGGCUUGCAGAGGAACUGAGUAUGGAACAUCAGAUGAAGUUGGAAGAAGCCUAACAUCGCCUGCCCUGAAGUCCUCAGUUGAAGCUCUCUUGCCUGAGGAUACCUGAAGUGAAAGGUAAGAAACACUUGACUUUCCAAAGGAACUCAAAGUGCUCAGGUGUUGAUGGACUCACAGGAGUUCCCAACCUUGAAUCAUGAUCCUUUGGGACCUGGUUCAGGCUCACUGCCUGUGGCUACUCCUGUGAUUGGAGAAUAGGCCCAUUGGUUCGUGGUAAAGGAUGUGAAUGUCUUGAAUU